rnacentral:sRNA from 1 species
CCUCGUAGAUCUGCUGGGGCGCGAUAAAGUGGAUAUGGCUAUCGAUACCACCCGCUGUGACGAGCAUAUUCUCGCCCGCGAUAACCUCGGUUGAGGCGCCAACGACCAGCUCGGGAUCGACCCCGGCCAUAGUAUCGGGAUUUCCGGCCUUGCCGACCUUGACAAUGCGCCCAUCUUUGACGCCGAUAUCACCUUUGACGAUGCCCCAGUGGUCGAUGAUCAGGGCGUUAGUGAUGACCAGGUCUAGCGUGCCAUUGACUCCUUCACGCGUGGCGCGGCUACUCUGGCCCAUGCCAUCGCGG